rnacentral:rRNA from 1 species
ACUCCUACGGGAGGCAGCAGUGGGGAAUCUUGCACAAUGGGGGCAACCCUGAUGCAGCGACGCCGCGUGAGCGAUGAAGCCCUUCGGGGUGUAAAGCUCUUUCGGCAGGGAAGAUUAUGACGGUACCUGCAGAAGCAGCUGCGGCUAACUACGUGCCAGCAGCCGCGGUAAUACGUAGGCAGCAAGCGUUGUUCGGAGUUACUGGGCGUAAAGGGUGUGUAGGCGGUCUUCUAAGUUUGGUGUGAAAUCUCCCGGCUCAACUGGGAGGGUGCGCCGAAAACUGGGAGGCUAGAGUGCGGGAUGGGAGAGUGGAAUUCCUGGUGUAGCGGUGAAAUGCGUAGAGAUC